rnacentral:rRNA from 1 species
UACGUAGGGCGCAAGCGUUGUCCGGAAUUAUUGGGCGUAAAGAGCUCGUAGGCGGUUUGUUACGUCCGCUGUGAAAACCCAGGGCUUAACCCUGGGCUUGCAGUGGAUACGGGCAGACUAGAGGUAGGUAGGGGAGAAUGGAAUUCCCGGUGUAGCGGUGAAAUGCGCAGAUAUCGGGAGGAACACCGGUGGCGAAGGCGGUUCUCUGGGCCGUAACUGACGCUGAGGAGCGAAAGCGUGGGGAGCGAACAGG